rnacentral:rRNA from 1 species
CACGUAGGGUGCGAGCGUUGUCCGGAAUUAUUGGGCGUAAAGAGCUCGUAGGCGGGGUGUCGCGUCGGCCGUGAAAACCUGCAGCUUAACUGUGGGCUUGCGGUCGAUACGGGCAUCACUGGAGUUCGGCAGGGGAGACUGGAAUUCCUGGUGUAGCGGUGAAAUGCGCAGAUAUCAGGAGGAACACCGGUGGCGAAGGCGGGUCUCUGGGCCGAUACUGACGCUGAGGAGCGAAAGCGUGGGGAGCGAACAGG